GAUGAACGCUAGCGGCAGGCUUAACACAUGCAAGUCGAGGGGUAGAGGUUGCUUGCAACCUUGAGACCGGCGCACGGGUGCGUAACGCGUAUGCAACCUACCUUUUACAGAGGGAUAGCCCAGAGAAAUUUGGAUUAAUACCUCAUGGUAUAUAACCUUCGCAUGUUGGUUAUAUUAAAGUUCCAACGGUAAAAGAUGGGCAUGCGUCCUAUUAGCUAGAUGGUAAGGUAACGGCUUACCAUGGCAACGAUAGGUAGGGGUCCUGAGAGGGAGAUCCCCCACACUGGUACUGAGACACGGACCAGACUCCUACGGGAGGCAGCAGUGAGGAAUAUUGGACAAUGGGCGCAAGCCUGAUCCAGCCAUGCCGCGUGCAGGAAGAAGCAUCUAUGGUGUGUAAACUGCUUUUGUACAGGAAGAAACACCCCGACGUGUCGGGACUUGACGGUACUGUAAGAAUAAGGAUCGGCUAACUCCGUGCCAGCAGCCGCAGUAAAAC
rnacentral:rRNA from 1 species